GUUUCUUCGGAAAUGGAUUAGCGGCGAACGGGUGAGGAACACGUGAAGAAUCUGCCCUCCACUUUGGGAUAACACCGGGAAACCGGUGCUAAUACCGAAUAUUGAAACAUAAGUGGCAUCACUGAGUUUUGAAAGAAUUUCGGUGGAGGAUGACUUCGCGGCCUAUCAGCUAGUUGGUGAGGUAAUGGCUCACCAAGGCAACGACGGGUAGCCGGCCUGAGAGGGCGACCGGCCACACUGGGACUGAGACACGGCCCAGACUCCUACGGGAGGCAGCAGUGGGGAAUAUUGGGCAAUGGAGGAAACUCUGACCCAGCGACGCCGCGUGCGGGAUGAAGGCCUUCGGGUUGUAAACCGCUUUCAGUAGGGAAGAAGCGAAAGUGACGGUACCUACAAAAGAAGCACCGGCUAACUAUGUGCCAGCAGCCGCGGUAAUACAUAGGGUGCAAGCGUUGUCCGGAAUUAUUGGGCGUAAAGAGCUCGUAGGUCGUUUGUUACGUCGGAUGUGAAAACCUGAGGCUCAACCUCAGGCCUGCAUUCGAUACGGGCAAACUAGAGUUUGGUAGGGGAGACUGGAAUUCCUGGUGUAGCGGUGGAAUGCGCAGAUAUCAGGAGGAACACCAAUGGCGAAGGCAGGUCUCUGGGCCAAUACUGACACUGAGGAGCGAAAGUCUGGGGAGCGAACAGGAUUAGAUACCCUGGUAGUCCAGACCGUAAACGGUGGGCACUAGUUGUGGGAACCUUCCACGGUUUCUGCGACGCAGCUAACGCAUUAAGUGC
rnacentral:rRNA from 1 species